rnacentral:lncRNA from 1 species
GUCACCCCAGACCUAUCCACACCAGACCCAAGGUCGUAUCCAGUCCUCCCCCAGGUGUCUGGUGGGAGGAACACUAUCUUCAGUGGUCUGGGUCCAACUCCAUUCCCUGAGAUUUGUGACUGUGAGCUGUGAGUGACACUGUGCCAUUGCUGUCUCCACCCACCACAGGAGCAUCAGAGCCUCUACUGUGUGGUGAUCUCAGCCAGCAGGGCCAGAUGGGGCAAGGCCAUCCUGAUUCCCACUCCUGUUCCUCCUCCCUCCUGUUAACCAGUGCUGGAUCCAUGCUUCCAGGACAUAUCUGCAAGGACAGAGUCUGCCCAGCUGGACUGCAGUGGAGAUAUACUGGCCAAGCAGCCUGACUGUGCACCAGAAACUUCAGACUUUGCAUCUUUUGACAUAGAAAUUAUAUUUCUACAUAGUUCUAGGAAGACAAGGGAAGUCAGAAAGAGACAUAUGCAAAGAUGCUGUCUUAACCAUUCCUGCUGCUAUAAUAAAU